rnacentral:snoRNA from 1 species
AAGACUAUACUUUCAGGGAUCAUUUCUAUAGUUUGUUACUAGAGAAGUUUCUCUGAACGUGUAGAGCACUAAAAUGCUAAUUAUCCAAAGAGACCCAUGUCACUGAGAUGCUUUUCCCCAUUCUCCCAGC